UUUCAGUGCAGCUGUGGGAUUCUGUGUCCAACAUUUGAUCGUUCGUCUUAUUUGAAUUUUUUAUUAUUAGUAUUUUUAUUGUUAUUACAAUAUAAAACAUGAAUAUAGUACUUAUGAGUGACUUAUUUUUUAAAAAAAUAUAUUUUUCAUAAAUUUUUCAAAUAAGACGAACGGUCAAACGUUGGACACGGAAAACCCACAACUGCACUUAAA
rfam:Oryza barthii chromosome 10, whole genome shotgun sequence.